rnacentral:misc_RNA from 1 species
GAUGAAGAACGUAGCGAAAUGCGAUAAGUAGUGUGAAUUGCAUAAUUCAGUGAAUCAUCGAAUCUUUGAACGCACAUUGCGCCCUUUGGUAUUCCUUAGGGCAUGCCUGUUCGAGCGUCAUUUAAACCUUCAAGCUCAGCUUGGUGUUGGGUGACUGUCCGCUUCACCGCGGACUCGCCUCAAAAUUAUUGGCGGCCGGUACAUUGGCUUCGAGCGCAGCAGAAACGCGAACUCGGGCCCGUCGUAUUGGCUCCCAGAAGCUAUCUUCACAAUUUUGACCUCGGAUCAGGUAGGGAUACCCGCUGAACUUAAGCAUAUCAAUAAGCGGAGGA